rnacentral:rRNA from 1 species
CCUACGGGGGGCAGCAGUGGGGAAUAUUGGACAAUGGGGGCAACCCUGAUCCAGCCAUACCGCGUGUGUGAAGAAGGCCUUAGGGUUGUAAAGCACUUUCAGUGGGGAGGAAAAGUUGCCGGCGAAUACCCGGCGACCGUGACGCUACCUGCAGAAGAAGCACCGGCAAACUCCGUGCCAGCAGCCGCGGUAAUACGGAGGGUGCGAGCGUUAAUCGGAAUUACUGGGCGUAAAGCGCGCGUAGGCGGUUUGGUAAGCUGGAUGUGAAAGCCCUGGGCUCAACCUGGGAACUGCAUCCAGAACUGCCAGGCUAGAGUAUGGUAGAGGACAGUGGAAUUUCCGGUGUAGCGGUGAAAUGCGUAGAGAUCGGAAGGAACACCAGUGGCGAAGGCGACUGUCUGGACCAAUACUGACGCUGAGGUGCGAAAGCGUGGGGAGCAAACAGGAUUAGAUACCCCUGUAGUC